CUUUCUCCGCCGGCGACCGGCGCACGGGUGAGUAACACGUAUGCAACCAGCCCCUGUCAGGGGGACAACCCGCCGAAAGGCGGGCUAAACCCGCGUACAUGCCACCGGGGCAUCCCGGAGGCAGGAAAGGCUUCGGCCGGACAGGGAUGGGCAUGCGGCGCAUUAGGCAGUAGGCGGGGUAACGGCCCACCUAACCGACGAUGCGUAGGGGUUCUGAGAGGAAGGUCCCCCACACUGGUACUGAGACACGGACCAGACUCCUACGGGAGGCAGCAG
rnacentral:rRNA from 1 species